CCUUCGUUGAUGAUUCAAAGUUAUGACUUUCGUUCUUCUGAGCCUCCUGAAGCAACUUACUUAUCUGAGAGGG